GACGAACGCUGGCGGCGCGCCUAACACAUGCAAGUCGAACGAGCGAGAGAGAGCUUGCUUUCUUGAGCGAGUGGCGAACGGGUGAGUAACGCGUGAGGAACCUGCCUCAAAGAGGGGGACAACAGUUGGAAACGACUGCUAAUACCGCAUAAGCCCACGACCCGGCAUCGGGUUGAGGGAAAAGGAGCAAUCCGCUUUGAGAUGGCCUCGCGUCCGAUUAGCUAGUUGGUGAGGUAACGGCCCACCAAGGCGACGAUCGGUAGCCGGACUGAGAGGUUGAACGGCCACAUUGGGACUGAGACACGGCCCAGACUCCUACGGGAAGCAGCAGUGGGGAAUAUUGCACAAUGGGGGAAACCCUGAUGCAGCGACGCCGCGUGGAGGAAGAAGGUCUUCGGAUUGUAAACUCCUGUUGUGGAGGAAGAUAAUGACGGUACUCAACAAGGAAGUGACGGCUAACUACGUG
rnacentral:rRNA from 1 species